GAGAGUAGCCUACACUUCCUUCAGGAGGACAGAGGACCACAGCAUCACCUGCAGCUUUCCCUGAACUUAGUUUUCAUUAGGUGUGACAGCUGUGUGUGUUGAGCAUGAAAACUCCUGGAGCUGCUGUGCUGCUGUUGCUUUGGGCUGGUAUAGUUGCGGUUGCAGGGGAGACUUGCCAGCCUGACAUCUACAAUGUGCUGAAGGAGAUCAGCGCUCUGGUGAAACAACUUAGGUGGGAAACCAAUGCUCAGGCAAAGGAUCUGACGGAAUUGAGAAGGGAAAGAGAUAACAGCAAGGUGUCGUUCUCUGCCUCACUGAAAACAUCACCAGGUCAUCAGUACUACGGUCCCUAUAAUAGCCCUACCACACUGAUCUA